rnacentral:tRNA from 1 species
GCUUCCGUGGCUCAGUUGGUAGAGCAGCACAUUCGUAACGUGCAGGUCAGCGGUUCGAUCCCGCUCGGGAGCUCCA